rnacentral:rRNA from 1 species
AUUGAACGCUGGCGGCAGGCUUAACAAAUGCAAGUCGAGCGAGCGGCGGACGGGUGAGUAAUGUCUGGGAAACUGACUGAUGGAGGGGGCUAACUACUGGAAAAGGUCGCUAAUACCGCAUACAAUCAGAUGUGGCCAGAUGGGAUUAGCUAGUAGGUGGGGUAAUGGCUCACAUAGGCGACGAUCCCUAGCGGGUCUGAGAGGAUGACCAGCCACACUGGAACUGAGCCACGGUCCAGACUCCUACGGGAGGCAGCAGUGGGGAAUAUUGCACAAUGAGCGCAAGCCUGAUGCAGCCAUGCCGCGUGUGUGAAGAAGGCCUUCGGUUUGUAAAGCACUUUCAGCGAGGAGGCGUUACUCGCAGAAGAAGCACCGGCUAACUCCGUGCCAGCAGCCGCGGUAAUAC